rnacentral:rRNA from 1 species
AUGCCUAUUGGUGAAAUGAAUUUCGCCUGAGGAUGAGCUCGCGUCUGAUUAGCUUGUUGGUGAGGUAAUGGCUCACCAAGGCUUCGAUCAGUAGCUGGUCUGAGAGGAUGAUCAGCCACACUGGGACUGAGACACGGCCCAGACUCCUACGGGAGGCAGCAGUGGGGAAUUUUCCGCAAUGGGCGAAAGCGUGACGGAGCAACGCCGCGUGAGGGACGAAGGCUUGUGGGCUGUAAACCUCUUUUCUCAAGGAAGAAGAUAUGACGGUACUUGAGGAAUAA